rnacentral:lncRNA from 1 species
AAAAAGAAAGAAAAAAAAUAUUGGAGUGUAAUUAGAUAUUUUGUUGGAGCCUACUUAAAUCUCUCUGAUGGAUUUUCCGAUCAACCAAUGGUCAAUUUUCUAUUUCCCCUUUCCUUCAGUUACAGAGAACCUUUUAAUCCAUUGUAAAGAAGAAGAAGAAGAAGAAGAAGAAGAAGAAGGUGAAUUCUCCGAUGGAAGUGGAGAUGGAGAGAACCAUGCGCGUGAGACAUACGCUUGAAUAUAGAGCAGUCAAAACCCCUUGCGUCAUAUUAUAGCUAGCUCUCUCUGUAAGUAGCUUUUUAUCAGUUUUUUUGUUCCCAAUCUUCAAUUUUUAAAUCUAUUCCCUUAUUUAUUUAUUUAUUCAAUGUUUCAAUAAUUGAUGUUCCAUGGCAAAUUGUAUGCAUGGUCAUGAUCAUCCUGUUGGAUAGACAUUUGAUUCAAAACAAGUUUAGGGUUUCAAAUUUAUAUUUUAAUGAGAAAAUGAGUUUUUAAAAUUUUGAUUGUAAGGAGAAAAUGAUUUGUAAUCUACUGUCAUUUUUAUGAAAGCAUGUUUUAAUUAGUUGGUUCUUGUGUGUAUUAUAUGAGGUGAAUUGAUUUAUUUUUGCAAUUUAAAAAUCCAUAGUUUAAUUUGGAUUUUGAGAGGGUGCUAUAAUCAUAUAAUAUUAAAGUGGUCCAACAGUUAUAAUUUGAAGUAGAUUUGUUUAGUGUAUUAUUUACUUUUGACGUAAAAACAUUAUUAGGUGUCAAAUUUAAAAUUGGAAUGUUAUAAGUUAGCUAAAGUUAAAGAAUAUGUUCAUAGUGAGGAUCUAUCAAGCUUUGUUUUGUUUUUUAUGUUUUUUAAUAGGUUAUAAAAUGCCUUACCGAAAAUUGAAUCACUUCGGCACUUGAGACUGUUGACCUCUUUAUAUGCCUAUUAAUGGAAAGUAUUGGAAAUGUUAUAAGUUAGCUAAAGUUAAAAGAAUAUGUUCAUAGUGAGGAUAUAUCAAGUUUUUUUUUUGAUGUUAUUUAAUAGGUUAUAAGAAUGCCUUGGGGAAAAUUGAAUCACUUGGGCACUUGAGACUGUUGACCUCUUUAUAUGCCUAUUAGUGGAAAGUAUAAUGCCAAUGUUUCAAGCAUAAUCUAGGGAACUUCUGAUUUUAGUAUUAGCAUUUUUAUUUAGCUUUGGGCAAAAAGCUAAUAAAACCAAAUUAUAUUAUUUACUCCUCGACUAGAUUCUAUAUGUUGUGAUAAAUUCUUGCCCAAGGUUCUCAUUAUAGUAUUCCAAUUUUCAAAGCAAAUAAUAUUAUCCAUUUCCUUGUAUUGUAACCAAGAUUUACCGACUGUGAAGAUUAAAGUAGUUUAUGAUGCAUUUUAAUAGAAGCAUGUAAUUUGAUUAAGAGAUGAAAAAAAAACUUUUAACAAAAUAUAUAGAACCCCUAUAUGGGUCCAAAAUCUGUACUUUUAAGGACUGCCAGAGGCAGAGUAAGCCAGCUGAAGGGAAUAUUUGUGCAGUUUAAUUUCUGUGAACAUUUCUACUGACAUCAUUGAAAAGCAAUGCAUUUACCGCCUGAGUUAACAUAAUCUAAAGAAUUGUUUUGCCGUAUUUAUAUGAGAUGGAGUGCUCUUGUUAUAAAAGAAGCUAAAUAGAACUUUCUCAUGGCUAUAUGAGAGUAAAUUUACUAUAAAAUUGUGUAUGUAUGAGUUUUUUUUAUUAUGAAUUUCUUCUUUGUUUGAAAUACAAAACUAAGUUGUGCGGCCUGUAAAUGUAUCUCAAACUGUUAAAGUUGUAGAUAACUAAUAUAUAUUAUCAUAGGUUUAGAGUUAGAGAAUCAUUUAUUCCAGUUGUUGAAAAUAUAUUAAUCAUUCGGAUAAUUCUUGCAGAACAGGAUCUCUCGCUAGUUUCUAUGUUACGCUUAAGGUCUCAACCUCGCUAUUUCCUUAGGGGACCACCCAUAAAGAAACUUUUAGCAAUAAUUAUUAAAGAUUAUGUCAUAUAGCUUUAUCUUUGAGAGUUCUAAAUCUAGGUCCACUUUACACUCAUGUUUCAUUGUUUAUCUAGCUCGGUAGUUUACUUGUGGACUACAUGCGCUUUGUGGUAACUGCAAACUGUAAAGGAUCCAAAGUUCAUGUAAAAAGAAACCAAAAAAACAGACAGAUCCCACGGCAUUAAUAACAUUAUCCGGUUCUAAUUUUUUUCAGUUUCCUUGACAAGUGGAAAAAUCUAUUCACUGGAUGGUGAUGAUAAUGAUCUCUGUAAAGUCCUCUAGUCUUAUCUGUGAUAUUAUCAUUAGCAUAGCUUGGAAUAAUAGUAGGAAUUCAGUCUAAUGUGACAUAUAAGGAAGGUCGAAGUAGGGUGAUAUAUUGCUCCCAGCUGCAUUGCAGAUUUGUGGCGAUGUUGCUCCAAUUUGGUUGGUAAAAGGAAGAAUAUAUCAACUUUUGAGUCCCAUGCUGCGACUUAUUAAAAUAAAUCAGAAAAAAAGAAUAAUUAUUGCUGUGGUUAGCAGGAGAAAACUAGCAUGUCAUGUUUAUGGAAACAACACACCAGUUAAGACCUAAUUUAAGUACAUAGUUCAGAAUGAAACUAUUCAAGUGCUUAACUAUUAUAUGCUAAUUUACUUAAAAAUAUUGUGUGAUCAACUUCCAUAAUGUUACGAAGAAGAUUGAAAAACAUUGGACUCUAAAGUUUACUUGUAGUAUUUCAGAAGAAAAAGCUAAACAACACGACUUCAUAAAUUAUAGUUUUCCAGACCAGAGAGGAGAGAGAUUGACUCAAUACAUUAAACAAGUCUCAGCUAGUGCAUUUUCUAUAUCUUGCUGCAUGCAUAUUCCCUGGUUACUUCUUCAGUGUGUCUAUGUAUCUGCCCUCCAUGAUAUCAUUACCUGAGAUGUACUCAAGAAAACCAUUGAAGCUGCCUUCUUUGUAUGAAAUGGGGUGCUGGUCGUCCACUAGCUCUGGUGCAGGUACUACCUUUUUUUCUAAAGCUAGGCUGUGAAGACUAGAAAUGGAAAUACGUUUCUUCACUGAGUUGACAGUUGCUCUAUGAAAAACACUCUUGUAUCGACCAUUGCUCAUUACUUCCAUUUGAUCUCCCAGAUGGACUAUUAGAGCUCCUUGAAUUAGCGGAACAGAAUGCCACUUCUUAUCAUGAUCCAUGAUUUCUAGUCCCUGCUGGCUUUGAUUUAUGAUAGUGAGCAAUCCAAAAUCUGAGUGUAGUGGCAAGCCAAGAACAAGAUCUGGCUGGGGACAGGCUGGGUAACAGUUGACGGCUAUGACUUGCGAGCCUUUUUCAGUGUCUUCGUGCAAGUAAGUAGUCUCCAAUCCUAAGCUCUGCGAAAUUAAUUCCAUAAGCUGCUUCUGUAACAAAUAUGCUGCCCUUGCGUACUUUCCCAUCUUCUCUCUGUGUAGAAAGUAUCAAUUUCUACAUUAGUAGUAUGCUUAAAAACAGUUUGAUGGAAUAAUGACUUGUACCAAUUUCUACAUUAGUAGCAAAUGUUCAGGUUAUAUUAUUGGUAGCAUCAUAAUGCUGGUGUUACUUACUUGUAACUUGGUGGAUUUGAUGGCCACUGAUCGAUCCAACUGGAUAUUGGAUGAGAAUAAUGCUUUAUGAAAUCUCUCCAAAAAUGGACUUUAUCCUUGACAUGAUUCAGGCUGGUACCAUAUCUUACAGGCUCAUGAACAUUAGCAGAGACGAGGCACAUUUUCUCUUCAGUAGACAAGUUAAAGAACUCUGUGGCAGACUCUAGGGCAUCAUUCAUGACUGAGGUAGGUAUUCCAUGGUUAAUCACCUGUAACAAACGGAUCUUUACGUAAAAACGAAACAAAAAUGUAAUGCAUGCAUGUUAUUAUGCGACGAUAAUCCAUAGAAACUUUUAUUAAUGAGUUUAAUUAUGGAAAAGAUUCAGGAUGUGUCUAUCCAACACGCCUAUGUAUUUAUAUGGUCUACUACAUCAAAAUUCGGCAUGCUGUGAUGACUUUAAGGUAGCAAAAAAGAUGGAUUAUCUAACUGCUGGUUGAGAAAAACAAGAGAAGAGUUGCAUGCAUGAAGAUUCUUUAUAACAUUAUUUUCCUUGUAGGACGUGAAUUAUACCUGGAAGAAACCAAGUUCCUUGCAUGCCGUGCGAAUUUCGUCAAUUUUCUCAGCUCUAAGAGAAGGGUUGUGUAAAGAGGAGAGGUCUAUGAGAGGCAAGGUGGUGGUGGGGUGAAGGACAAGACUAGGAUUC